AGAAAUUUAGGUUAAACAGACCAAGGGCCUUCAAAGCCCUAAGCAAGUGUUCCCACUUAAUUUCUG